GAUUUCUGGCUUGAAACAUUUUGCCAGCCACGGUUUCGUGUGUUAGUGCUUGAUGUUCUGGCCAUCCUUCCAAUCGCUAUUGACUAGUCUUCAUUGAUUGGUCAGUGGUAUUGGAUCUUUUACUUUGAAAAAAUUAGAGUGUUUCAAGCAGGCUUUAUGCUAUGAAUACAUUAGCAUGGAAUAAUAAUUUAGGACUUCGGUUCUAUUUUGUUGGUUUCUAGGACUGAAGUAAUGAUUGAUAGGGACAGUUGGGGGUGCUAGUAUUCAGCGGCCAGAGGUGAAAUUCUCGGAUUCGCUGAAGACUAACUUAUGCGAAAGCAUU
rnacentral:rRNA from 1 species